UACGUAGGGGGCAAGCGUUGUCCGGAAUUAUUGGGCGUAAAGCGCGCGCAGGCGGUUUCUUAAGUCUGGUGUGAAAGCCCGCAGCUCAACUGCGGAGGGGCACUGGAAACUGGGAAGCUUGAGUGUAGGAGAGGAGAGCGGAAUUCCACGUGUAGCGGUGAAAUGCGUAGAUAUGUGGAGGACCACCCGUGGCGAAAGCGGCUCUCUGGCCUAUAACUGACGCUGAGGCGCGAAAGCGUGGGGAGCGAACAGG
rnacentral:rRNA from 1 species